rnacentral:rRNA from 1 species
CGCGUAGGCGGCUAUUUAAGUCUGGAGUGAAAGUCCUGCUUUUAAGGUGGGAAUUGCUUUGGAAACUGGAUGGCUUGAGUGCAGGAGAGGUUAUCGGAAUUCCCGGUGUAGCGGUGAAAUGCGUAGAGGUCGGGAGGAACACCAGUGGCGAAGGCGGGUAACUGGACUGCAACUGACGCUGAUGCGCGAAAGUGUGGGGAGCAAACAG